GGCCCAAUGGUCUAGAGGUAUGAUUCGCCCUUCGGGUGGGCGAGGCCCGCGUUCGAAUCGCGGUUGGGCCC
rnacentral:tRNA from 1 species